AGGGGCAGCGGUGGUGAAGGCUUGCCUUUACCAGCCGGCGACCGGCGCACGGGUGAGUAACACGUAUGCAACCUGCCUGCCACAGCCGGAUAAUCGGGAGAAAUUCCGUCUAAUACGGCAUAAUGCACCUAUGGGACAUCCUGUUGGUGCCAAAGGUUGAUUCCGGUGGCGGAUGGGCAUGCGUCGCAUUAGUUAGUUGGCGGUGUAACGGACCACCAAGACGACGAUGCGUAGGGGUUCUGAGAGGAAGGUCCCCCACACUGGUACUGAGACACGGACCACACUCCUACGGGAGGCAGCAGUGAGGAAUAUUGGUCAAUGGGCGGGAGCCUGAACCAGCCAAGUCGCGUGAGGGAUGACGGCCCUAUGGGUUGUAAACCUCUUUUGCCGGGGAGCAAAAAGCCGCACGUGUGCGGUUUGGAGAAAAAAAAAAGAAAAAGCAUCGACUAAGCGCGAAAAAAAAGCCGCGGUAAUACGGAGGAUGCGAGCGUAAUCCGGAUUAAUAGGGUAUAAAGGGUGCGUAGGCGGACGCUUAAGUCAGCGGUAAAAUAGCGGGGCUCAACCUCGGCGAGCCGUCGAAA
rnacentral:rRNA from 1 species